rnacentral:rRNA from 1 species
GAUGAACGCUGGCGGCGUGCUUAACACAUGCAAGUCGAGCGAAGCGCUUUGACGGAUUUCUUCGGAUUGAAGUCUUAGUGACUGAGCGGCGGACGGGUGAGUAACGCGUGGGUAACCUGCCUCAUACAGGGGGAUAACAGUUGGAAACGACUGCUAAUACCGCAUAAGCGCACAGUACCGCAUGGUACGGUGUGAAAAACUCCGGUGGUAUGAGAUGGACCCGCGUCUGAUUAGGUAGUUGGUGGGGUAACGGCCUACCAAGCCGACGAUCAGUAGCCGACCUGAGAGGGUGACCGGCCACAUUGGGACUGAGACACGGCCCAAACUCCUACGGGAGGCAGCAGUGGGGAAUAUUGCACAAUGGGGGAAACCCUGAUGCAGCGACGCCGCGUGAGCGAUGAAGUAUUUCGGUAUGUAAAGCUCUAUCAGCAGGGAAGAAAAUGACGGUACCUGACUAAGAAGCCCCGGCUAACUACGUGCCAGCAGCCGCGGUAAUACGUAGGGGGCAAGCGUUAUCCGGAUUUACUGGGUGUAAAGGGAGCGUAGACGGCAUGGCAAGCCAGAUGUGAAAGCCCGGGGCUCAACCCCGGGACUGCAUUUGGAACUGUCAGGCUAGAGUGUCGGAGAGGAAAGCGGAAUUCCUAGUGUAGCGGUGAAAUGCGUAGAUAUUAGGAGGAACACCAGUGGCGAAGGCGGCUUUCUGGACGAUGACUGACGUUGAGGCUCGAAAGCGUGGGGAGCAAACAGG